rnacentral:rRNA from 1 species
AGCGUGGAGACAGGUGGUGCAUGGCUGUCGUCAGCUCGUGUCGUGAGAUGUUGGGUUAGGUCCCGCAACGAGCGCAACCCUCACCCCUUGUUGCCAUCAGGUCAUGCUGGGCACUCUAGGGGAACUGCCCCGGUCAACGGGGAGGAAGGCGGGGAUGACGUCAAGUCAUCAUGCCCCUUACGCCCUGGGCUACACACGUGCUACAAUGGCCGGUACAAAGGGAUGCAACGCCGUGAGGCAGAGCCAAACCCAAAAAGCCGGUCUAAGUUCAGAUUGGAGUCUGCAACUCGACUCCAUGAAGGAGGAAUCGCUAGUAAUCGCGUAUCAGCACGACGCGGUGAAUACGUUCCCGGGCCUUGUACACACCGCCCGUCACACCACGAAAGCCUGCUGUACUCGAAGUCGCUGAG